UCAAUGAUUAUAAGACUCCUAAGCUCAGAUGACCAGACCUAUUUUCACCUAAAAUGUGAAAGGACGUGUCACACGGUGCUGCAGGCUGAAUGUUUGUGUCCCCUCAAAAUUCAUAUGUUGAAACCUAGCCCCCAGCAGGAUGGUAUUAGGAGGUGGGGCCUUUGGGAAGUGAUUAGGUCAGGAAGGCAGAGCCUUCGCAAUGUAAGAUCAGUGCCCUUACAAAGAGUCCUGAGAAAGCUCCCUUGUCUCUUUUACCACGUGAAGCCACUGUGAAGCUAUAACCAGCUGUGAACCAGGAAGCAGGGCCCCGCCAGGCACUAAAUGCUGGUCUUGGACUUUCCAAUCUCCAGGACUGUAAGAAACACAUUUCUGUUGUUUAUUAUCUGAUUUUUGACAUUUUUGUUAUAUCAAAACUGAGCUGAGUUGACUAGAUAUGCAGAAAGUCCACCUACUUAAGGAAAGCAUGGAUUCAAAGCUAAUCUGGCCUUUGGUGUAGAAAAAGGCAAAGCUGCUUACUUCAGGCUUGGGAUCACCAGUUCUAUGUGGAACUUCUCAGCCACGUGUAUCACCCAGAUACACUCCACGUCGGUGGGGUAGUUUGUUGGAUACCAAGGACUGGAGAAGGAGCCCGAGAGACCAGAAAUGACUCCUCCACAAGAGUUACUUCCUCCUGUGGGCAGACAAGAGACAACUGGUUGGCUUCUUCCGGCAUGCACCUGGCAUUUCCCAGGAGUAGAAUCCAGGAUUCCAUCAAACUCAACAAAUCCCAAGACUCCUGGUCUUUCCUGCAACGGAUGGCAGGAGGUGGGGAUGUGCCCAGGCAUCUCAUCACUCUGCUGUUGGUUGGUAGUUAGAACAACCGGGCUGGGUCAGACAGACAUGAAACCCCCUGGGACUGGAUUUCCUGAAACCUCUACAGAAUACGGCAGAGGUGACACUGUGCAUUAAGAGACUGGAAGCUUCCAUUUAUCUCUGGGAACAGUGGCUUGCUCAUGGCACCCUGAGCCACCUUAUAAGAAGUCUGACUACGCUGCUGCAGAAACUGUGUGAAGAGGCCCCAAGACUGCCUGGGGAGGAAGGGGGCCCUGGCUAAGCCCACGCUUCCAGCUGUCUCCACCAAGCACCAAGCAUGUGAGUGCAGCUGCCCUUGACUCUCCAGACCAGUCUCUAGGUGAACAGCACCAAAUGACCCUGCUCAGUGCUAUGUGGAGCAGAAGAGUCUCCCAUCUGCCCAGUGCCCGAAUUCCUGACCCACAACAACACGACGUGUCACUGAAUAGUCAUUGUGUUAAACCACUAUGUCUGUGGAGUAGCAACAGAUAGCCAGAAUGGUUCCUGUCACUCAACACGAUCUUCCUCGUUUCCCCAUCAUCUAUGUAAUCUUCAGUUUACCUGAGUUACGGAAAAAGAGACAACUACAGGUAGGCCUUCAUUUAAACAUCCGCUGCCCUUAACCCCAUCCAUAAUGGCCUUUUAACUUUGGAUGGCCCUUUCCCCUCACUUGUGACCCCAACACAAAAAGCUGGUCUGCCCCCCGCCCCGAGACACUCAGAACACAUCAAGGUCUCCUCCAAGGAAGUGUCCAAGAAGGAUGCUUCUGGCAAUACCUCAUGACUUGUGUAAGGUCUCUGAGGCUGUGCGGGGGCAGGCAGUUUCAUUCAAAGGGCAAGAGAUGGGGUCUGUAAAGUCCAGUUCGGCUACUUUCUUUCUUUCUUUUUAUUUAAGUUUAUUUAUUUUGAUAGAGAGAAAGAGAGAG